rnacentral:rRNA from 1 species
CAAUAGCGUAUAUUUAAGUUGUUGCAGUUAAAAAGCUCGUAGUUGGAUUUCGGGUGGGACGCAGCGGUCUCGCAUUGCGUUUGUACUGCUGCAGCCCUCCUUCUUGCCGGGGACGGCCUCUCGGACUUCACUGUCUGGGGGUCAGAAUCGGCGAUGUUACUUUGAGUAAAUUAGAGUGUUCAAAGCAAGCUUACGCUCUGAAUAUAAUAGCAUGGGAUAACACGACAGGACUCUGGCCUAUCGUGUUGGUCUAUAGGACCAGAGUAAUGAUUAAGAGGGACAGUCGGGGGCAUUCGUAUUCCGUUGUCAGAGGUGAAAUUCUUGGAUUUACGGAAGACGAACAUCUGCGAAAGCAUUUGCCAAGGAUGUUUUCAUUGA